AGUGAACGCUGGCGGUAGGCCUAACACAUGCAAGUCGAACGGCAGCACAGUAAGAGCUUGCUCUUACGGGUGGCGAGUGGCGGACGGGUGAAGAAUACAUCGGAAUCUACUUUUUCGUGGGGGAUAACGUAGGGAAACUUACGCUAAUACCGCAUACGACCUACGGGUGAAAGCAGGGGAUCUUCGCACCUUGCGCGAUUGAAUGAGCCGAUGUCGGACUAGCUAGUUGGCGGGGUAAAGGCCCACCAAGGCGACGAUCCGUAGCUGGUCUGAGAGGAUGAUCAGCCACACUGGAACUGAGACACGGUCCAGACUCCUACGGGAGGCAGCAGUGGGGAAUAUUGGACAAUGGGCGCAAGCCUGAUCCAGCCAUACCGCGUGAGUGAAGAAGGCCUUCGGGUUGUAAAGCCCUUUUGUUGGGAAAGAAAAGCAGCAGGUUAAUACCCCGCUGUUCUGACGGUACCCAAAGAAUAAGCACCGGCUAACUUCGUG
rnacentral:rRNA from 1 species